rnacentral:lncRNA from 1 species
UUGCUGUGAAUCACAUGAUUCACUUUGCUUUGUCGGCCACCUUACUUUUUUGGUGCCCGAGGUGUCCUUCCCUUUGGAGUCUGAUGCUUGUCAUGUUCAUCAGACCGGAACCUCCUUUUGUCCGGCUUUGGAAAGAAUCCUUUGCCGAAUUCCGGCUCCUUCUGCGAUGAGCAUUGAUCGCAGACUUUCUCGAUCCAAUGGCCCAGAUGAGCCAUAUUGCAAAACUUGCGACGAG